CGCCAGACUCCUACGGGAGGCAGCAGUGGGGAAUAUUGCACAAUGGGGGAAACCCUGAUGCAGCGACGCCGCGCGAGCGAUGAAGUAUUUCGGUAUGUAAAGCUCUAUCAGCAGGGAAGAAGAUGACGGUACCUGACUAAGAAGCCCCGGCUAACUACGUGCCAGCAGCCGCGGUAAUACGUAGGGGGCAAGCGUUAUCCGGAUUUACUGGGUGUAAAGGGAGCGUAGACGGCGGCGCAAGCCAGAUGUGAAAGCCCGGGGCUCAACUCCGGGACUGCAUUUGGAACUGUGUGGCUGGAGUGUCGGAGAGGCAGGCGGAAUUCCUAGUGUAGCGGUGAAAUGCGUAGAUAUUAGGAGGAACACCAGUGGCGAAGGCGGCCCGCUGGACGAUGACUGACGUUGAGGCUCGAAAGCGUGGGGAGCAAACAGGAUUAGAUACCCCAGUAC
rnacentral:rRNA from 1 species